rnacentral:rRNA from 1 species
CGGAUCGAAGUCUGCAACCCGACUUCGUGAAGCUGGAUUCGCUAGUAAUCGCACAUCAGCCAUGGCGCGGUGAAUACCGUUCCCGGGCCUUGUACACACCGCCCGUCAAGCCAUGAAAGCCGGGGGUACCUGAAGUACGUAACCGCAAGGAGCGUCCUAGGGUAAAACUGGUAAUUGGGGCUAAGUCGUAACAAGGUACC